rnacentral:misc_RNA from 1 species
GAUGAAGAACGCAGCGAAAUGCGAUAAGUAAUGUGAAUUGCAGAAUUCAGUGAAUCAUCGAAUCUUUGAACGCAUCUUGCGCUCCUUGGUAUUCUGAGGAGCAUGCCUGUUUGAGUGUCAUUAAAUUCUCAACUACACUGACUUUGAAUUGGUGUGGCUUGGAUUUGGGGGGAAAAUUGUUGUGGGCUUUUUGUAUAGUCUGCUCCCCUGAAAUUGAUUAGCGGUACCUUUGUGGAACUGUCUACAGGUGUGAUAAUUAUCUACAUCUUAGACAUCUGCUGGAAUGCUGCUUUCUAAACCUUACUUGUAUUGACAAUCUUGACCUCAAAUCAGGUAGGACUACCCGCUGAACUUAAGCAUAUCAACAAGCGGAGGA